CGGCGGGAGCCACCGCUCCCGGCCUCAGACUAUGCUACUUUGGAAAUGAGUAGUAUACAUAAAAAUCUACUCCCCAUAAAAAAUGUAUUCCUUCUUCAAGGAUCUGUUUCUUAGAAGUGGACACGUGAACUCUUACACAGAUCAAGAGGAGCAGCUCUGUAAAUAUUUCCCUGAGGGCCCUAAUAAGAGUAAGAACCGCCGCUUUCUAAGAACCUACUGUGUGUCCAGCAGGGAUCUACAGCAUUGCAUUCAAUUCCGUCCUCCCCCACGCCUGCCUUUAAUUGAUAUGAUAAUAUACAAAUUUUUUAAUGAAUAACAAAUGUGCCACCAAUCACCUAGAACUAUUAGGGAGGCUCCAAAGCAUCAAAGGCUAAACUAAACACCAUGGCUGGAGAGGGAAUGAACUGGAGGAGGGAAAGGAGGAAAGACUGGGGGGACCCAGAGCUCUCCACCCUUGUCCUCUCGCUCCAGCCUGGUCUGUUCUUGCUCAUUCAGAAACUGGUUGGAGUAAAAAGAUUCCCCUUUUCAAGAUCGCCAAAAGUGGAACUGAUCGCUUUCGAAGGGACUCCUUCAGGAAGAAGGAGAAAAAUUCGAGAAACUUACCUGUUUCUCUCCCUGGAAUGCCUUCUGAACCCUGAGAUUUACUUUCCUCAAUAAAGAAGCUCGCCUCGCCCACCCAGCCCACUCUUCCUAGGAGCAGCGAGGAUCGCUGUCCCUCCAGCACAUACUAGUCAACUCGAGUCAUCUGAAUAUGGGCAUAUUGGGCACAUAUUUCUUUGUAAUGGUUCCUCUCCUAUUACAAUAUGUAUCUGUUGUUUCAUCGUUAGAUUGAAAGCUCUUUAAGAAUUAUGGUAACAGUGUUACAGCUCUUUCAGAAUUUGUUUAGCAGGUUUUCUGGUUUUCACAGGAAAAUAAAAUAAAAACAAUAAUUAUAAUAAUGGCUACCGUGUUUUGAAUGCUUGCUUUUAGGCUAUUAAGCACAG
rnacentral:lncRNA from 10 species